CAAGGUUCGACUCGAGCGAAGCGAGAGAACGUUGCCGCAGGCAAUGGCCCGAAGGCGAGGCGCUUUAGCGCCGAGUAAUCCUUACCCCACCA
rnacentral:sRNA from 1 species